AUACGGAGGGUGCAAGCGUUAUUCGGAAUCACUGGGCGUAAAGGACGCGUAGGCGGGUUGGCAAGCCAGAUGUGAAAUCCUACAGCUUAACUGUAGAACUGCAUUUGAAACUGCUAACCUAGAGUAUGGGAGGGGCAGAUGGAAUUAGUGGUGUAGGGGUAAAAUCCGUAGAUAUCACUAGGAAUACCGAAAGCGAAGGCGAUCUGCUGGAACAUAACUGACGCUAAGGCGUGAAAGCGUGGGGAGCAAACAGGAUUAGAAACCCUAGUAGUCC
rnacentral:rRNA from 1 species